UCUCUGGUGGUCCAGUGAUUAAGACUCUGCUCUCUCAAUGUAGGGGACCUGGGUUUGAUUCCUGGUCAGGGAA
rnacentral:tRNA from 1 species